UACGUAGGGGGCAAGCGUUGUCCGGAAUCAUUGGGCGUAAAGAGCGCGUAGGCGGCCCUGUAAGUCCGCUGUGAAAGUCAAGGGCUCAACCCUUGGAUGCCGGUGGAUACUGCAGGGCUAGAGUCCGGAAGAGGCGAGUGGAAUUCCUGGUGUAGCGGUGAAAUGCGCAGAUAUCAGGAGGAACACCGAUGGCGAAGGCAGCUCGCUGGGACGGUACUGACGCUGAGGCGCGAAAGCGUGGGGAGCGAACCGG
rnacentral:rRNA from 1 species